rnacentral:rRNA from 1 species
ACUCCUACGGGAGGCAGCAGUGGGGAAUAUUGCACAAUGGGGGAAACCCUGAUGCAGCCAUGCCGCGUGUGUGAAGAAGGCCUUCGGUUGUAAAGCACUUUCAGUAGGAGGAAGGUAGUGUAGUUAACACCUGCAUUAUUUGUACGUUACCUUCAGAAGAAGCACCGGCUAACUCCGUGCCAGCAGCCGCGGUAAUACGGAGGGUGCGAGCGUUAAUCGGAAUUACUGGGCGUAAAGCGCAUGCAGGCGGCCUGUUAAGUCAGAUGUGAAAGCCCGGGGCUUAACCUCGGAAUUGCAUUUGAAACUGGCAGGCUAGAGUCUUGUAGAGGGGUUAGAAUUUCAGGUGUAGCGUGAAAUGCGUAGAGAUCUGAAGGAAUACCAGUGCGAAGCGGCCCCUGGACAAAGACUGACGCUCAGAUGCGAAAGCGUGGGAGCAAACAGGAUUAGAUACCCCUGGUAGACUGUCA